AGGUCAAGCUACUAAGAGCGUAGGGUGAAUGCCUUGGCAUCAAGAGCCGAAGAAGGACGCGAUAAGCUGCGAUAAUCCACGGAGAGGCGCAAAUAGCCUGUGACCCGUGGGAAUCCGAAUGGGGAAACCCAACCAGAGUGAAUGUCUGGUUACCCAUAUGUGAAUAAAUAGCAUAUGAGGAGGGAGACGAAGGGAACUGAAACAUCUAAGUACCUUCAGGAGAAGAAAGAAAAGAAUCGAUUCCUUGAGUAGCGGCGAGCGAAAUAGGAACAGUCCAAACCGACGAUAGCAAUAUCGAUCGGGGUUGCGGACCAGAUAAUCUACUUUAAGAUCUAGCAGAACUACAUGGGAAGGUAGGCCAUAGCGGGUGAUAGCCCCGUAAGCGAAAGGUUGAGAAGAGAGCUGGUAUCCAGAGUACCGCCGGACACGUGAAACCCGGUGGGAAGCCGGGGGGACCACCCCCCAAGGCUAAAUACUACCUGAUGACCGAUAGUGAAGCAGUACCGUGAGGGAAAG
rnacentral:rRNA from 1 species